GGGUAGCUAGUUCAUCGGCAGAACGCUUACCUGAUAAGUAAGAGGUGCGUGGUUCGAUUCCACGGCUACCCA
rnacentral:tRNA from 1 species